rnacentral:lncRNA from 1 species
CUUGCCUGGCCACUGAACACAUCACAGCCUCACUUCAGUGUGGGAAGCUUCAGAAUGUGUUUAAGUUCUGGGUACUGGUCACUGACUUUGCAGGCUGCAUUGCUCUUAGCCUUACUGUUCCUCUCUUGCUCACACUGCACGCGGAGGCAAGGAGGGAUGAUAACAGACUUGCCGCUGUACUUGCUGUUCCCAUAACAAAUGGCAGGAUCCUCACAUAAAUUGUUUGAACAUGUAACACUGCUCUUAUUUCCUAAAGAUAAGGGCUCAGGAACUGCCCUUUUCCAAAAUGAAAGAAAUGAACCACAUGUUAUCUCUUUGUUUUAAAAAAUGAUCCCUGCAACUGCAACAACAAAAAGCCACUGCAACACUCCUUAGAGGUCUUGCAAACUUUUAUGGGAGGGAUUUUCAACUCACCAUGCCUGGCUUUGCUACCAUUUUCUCUCCUCGUCCCAGCACUCACAGCUCAAGCAUCCUGGAGCAGCUCUCAGGUGGGCAAAAUGAGCUGCUGAAUGCUUCACUGGUUUGGGCUGAAAAGCCCAGCAGGCCACCUGCACGGAUGUGAUUUGGCUCCUCACUCCACUUGCUGCCCAUCAGCCUUGAGCCCCAUCCAACAGGCCAUGGCUGGGAGGGAGUGUGGGCAGACAGGAGAAGAGGAAGAUUUACGUAAGGGAACAACGGGACGAGUGAAGGAAUUAAUGUAUUAGUUACUCUCUUCUGUUGGAUGCAUCACAAAGUUGGUCAAUGCAAGGAGGAACUGGGAGGAGAAGGAGAAAGAGCUAUGGCUGAAGGCAGCUCAGACAGGAGGCAUAGCUGGGCAAUGAGCAGUGGGAUGUGCUCGGCAGGUUCAGGCCACACAUGAAGUCUGCCCUUCUUGGCUAUUGCUGUCAGUGGAGAAAGACAAACCUUGAAAGAGCUGCAGCUGGAAGGGGACAUGUGAUCCUCUUACACCUAUGUUUGAGCAUGAUGAAAUUAUGGGGUCAAGGACACCUUGCAGAAGAAAUCUCCUGCUGGAAAAGAAGUGAGUUUACUUUCGUCCCAUACUGAGUUGCUGAGGAUGCUGCGUUCCCACUGCUGAGCCAGGUAGUCAUGCAGACACAGGGAGAGGGGUGGAAAACCUUUUGGCUGCCAGAAACCAGAUGCUGGAGCAGGUCCACCUACUGUACUCAAGAAACCAGCCUGAGGUACCACCCACGGGUGGAGACCAGCUCUUACAGGCUGGAAGCAUGUUCAAAAUGUUAGCUGCUUCUGUUGUGCUGGGGUGUUGCUAUUUUG